AUUGAACGCUGGCGGCAGGCCUAACACAUGCAAGUCGAACGGUAACAGGAAGAAGCUUGUUUCUUUGCUGACGAGUGGCGGACGGGUGAGUAAUGUCUGGGAAACUGCCUGAUGGAGGGGGAUAACUACUGGAAACGGUAGCUAAUACCGCAUAACGUCGCAAGACUAAAGAGGGGGACCUUCGGGCCUCUUGCCAUCGGAUGUGCCCAGAUGGGAUUAGCUAGUAGGUGGGGUAACGGCUCACCUAGGCGACGAUCCCUAGCUGGUCUGAGAGGAUGACCAGCCACACUGGAACUGGGACUCGGUCCAGACUCCUACGGGAGGCAGCAGUGGGGAAUAUUGCACAAUGGGCGGAAGCCUGAUGCAGCCAUGCCGCGUGUAUGAAGAAGGCCUUCGGGUUGUAAAGUACUUUUAGCGGGGAGGAAGGGAGUAAAGUUAAUACCUUUUCUCAUUGACGUUACCCGCAGAAGAAGCACCGGCUAACUCCGUG
rnacentral:rRNA from 1 species